GAUGAAGAACGCAGCGAAAUGCGAUAAGUAGUGUGAAUUGCAGAAUUCCGUGAAUCAUCGAAUCUUUGAACGCACAUUGCGCCUUCUGGUAUUCCGGAAGGCAUGCCUGUUCGAGAGUCAUUAACAACCGUUUCGAUCCCUUUCUUUCAGAAAUUACAAAGAGGAAAAGGGUUUGGUUAUGGUGGAGGAGGGAAAGGGAGCGUUUAGCCUGUAAAAAAAGAGGCUGUGUUCCGCCUCCCCCCCAAAAUUGUACAGGCGGUCGUGUGCGCCCACGCAUCGAGGUGUUGUAAAAGCUGCCACGGCACUUUUCACCUGUGCAGUGCGAGAUUGGCCAGCCGGUUUAAAACCCCCUCCAAACUAUCAAAGGUUGACCUCGGAUCAGGUAGGGAUACCCGCUGAACUUAAGCAUAUCAAUAAGCGGAGGA
rnacentral:misc_RNA from 1 species